rnacentral:rRNA from 1 species
AGCGAACGCUGGCGGCAGGCCUAACACAUGCAAGUCGAACGAACCUUUCGGGGUUAGUGGCGGACGGGUGAGUAACACGUGGGAACGUGCCUUUAGGUUCGGAAUAACUCAGGGAAACUUGUGCUAAUACCGAAUGUGCCCUUCGGGGGAAAGAUUUAUCGCCUUUAGAGCGGCCCGCGUCUGAUUAGCUAGUUGGUUGAGGUAAUGGCUCACCAAGGCGACGAUCAGUAGCUGGUCUGUGAGGAUGAUCAGCCACAUUGGGACUGAGACACGGCCCAAACUCCUACGGGAGGCAGCAGUGGGGAAUCUUGCGCAAUGGGCGAAAGCCUGACGCAGCCAUGCCGCGUGAAUGAUGAAGGUCUUAGGAUUGUAAAAUUCUUUCACCGGGGACGAUAAUGACGGUACCCGGAGAAGAAGCCCCGGCUAACUUCGU